rnacentral:ncRNA from 1 species
UAUGUUUUUGGAAAUUUAUUAUAAAUUUAUUUUACAUAUAAAUUUUAGUGUAUAAUUUUAAUUAUUUAAAUAAUAAUUGAUUUAUUUUAGUAGUAAUUAAUAUUAAAAAUUUAAGAAAUUAAGAUUUAGUAAUAUAAAAAUUAAUAACUAAUUUUGUGCCAGCAGUUGCGGUUAGACAAAAAUUAAAUUAAAUUAUUUCAGUAUAUAAUAAAUAAUAAAAUCAUUAAAAUAAAUAUUGAAUUAUUAAGUGAAAUUUUAAUUUAAUUAAAUUUUAUUUUAAAUUUAUGAUUUAAUAAAUUUUAAUAUAAACUAGGAUUAGAUACCCUAUUAUUAAAAAUUUAAUUUAUAAUACUAAAAUAGUAAAUAAUAAUUUAUUGAAACUUAAAUAACAUGGCGGUAUUUUAGUUCAUUUAGAGGAAUCUGUCUAAUAAUUGAUAAUCCACGAAUAAAUUUACUUAAUUUAUAAUUUUGUAUAUCAUUGUUAAAAAAAUAUUUUUUAGGAAAAAUAAUAUUUAAAAAUUAUAAUAAAAAUUAAAUCAGAUCAAGAUGCAGAGUAUAAUUAAGAAUAUGAUGGAUUACAUUAAAUAUAUUUAUAUGAAUAAUUUUAUUGUAAUAAAAAUUUGAAGGUGGAUUUAAAUGUAAUUUUAAUUAAUUUAUUAAAAUGAUUAAAAAUUAAAAUAUGUACAUAUUGCCCGUCACUUUCAUUUAAAAAUUGAAAUAAGUCGUAACAAAGUAGAGGUACUGGAAAGUGUUUCUAGAAAGAU